rnacentral:rRNA from 1 species
AGCUUAAUAGCUAGCCCGCCCAAACAACUUCAACAAAUCCCUGUUAAUAACCCCUAAGUACACUAGUAUUUACAUUAAACAAACCAUUUUUCCCCCUUAGUAUAGGCGAUAGAAAAGGACCCACGGCGCAAUAGAGAAAGUACCGCAAGGGAAUGCUGAAAGAGAAAUGAAAUAUCCCAGUGAAGCCUANAAAAGCAGAGAUUUUAACUCGUACCUUUUGCAUCAUGAUUUAGCAAGUGUAACCCAAGCAAAGAGUGCUUUAGUUUGAUUUCCCGAAACUAGGUGAGCUACUCCAAGACAGCCUAUUAAUAGGGCAUACCCGUCUCUGUGGCAAAAGAGUGGGGAGAGCUUUGAGUAGAGGUGACAGACCUACCGAACCUAGUUAUAGCUGGUUGUCCAAGAAAUGAAUAGAAGUUCAGCCUCCCGGCUUCUCUUUUCACCUUAGAUUCACCCCUAUUGAUGUACUUAAGAAACCUGUGAGAGUUAGUCAAAGGGGGUACAGCCCCUUUGAAUCAAGACACACCUUUACUAGGAGGGUAAAGAUCAUA